rnacentral:rRNA from 1 species
UACGUAGGGUGCAAGCGUUGUCCGGAAUCAUUGGGCGUAAAGCGCGUGUAGGCGGUUCGGUAAGUCGGCUGUGAAAGUCCAGGGCUCAACCCUGGGAUGCCGGUCGAUACUGCCGGACUAGAGUUCGGAAGAGGCGAGUGGAAUUCCCGGUGUAGCGGUGAAAUGCGCAGAUAUCGGGAGGAACACCAAUGGCGAAGGCAGCUCGCUGGGACGUUACUGACGCUGAGACGCGAAAGCGUGGGGAGCAAACAGG